rnacentral:lncRNA from 1 species
GCCAUCUAUUUCUCUCUUGGGACACUUAGGGCUUGUCUCAGUGUCUGGCACAAAGCAGGUGCUUGACGAUCACUUAGUGGAAAUUUAUUUUGAAUCUUACCUUCCCUCUUUUCCGCUAACACUCUCUGCAGAAGGUGAUAAUGAAUACUGAAGAUUCUAAGAAGAUCAUAAGAGAGAAGUACAUGCAGAAACAGAAAAAGUCCAUAAACUCGAAUUUUGUGUGA